CCUACGGGAGGCAGCAGUGAGGAAUAUUGGUCAAUGGACGAGAGUCUGAACCAGCCAAGUAGCGUGAAGGAUGACUGCCCUAUGGGUUGUAAACUUCUUUUAUAAAGGAAUAAAACGAGGCACGUGUGCCUUUUUGCAUGUACUUUAUGAAUAAGAAUCGGCUAACUCCGUGCCAGCAGCCGCGGUAAUACGGAGGAUCCGAGCGUUAUCCGGAUUGAUUGGGUUUAAAGGGAGCGUAGAUGGGUUGUUAAGUCAGUUGUGAAAGUUUGCGGCUCAACCGUAAAAUUGCAAUUGAUACUGGCAGGCGUGAGUACAGUUGAGGUAGGCGUAAUUCGUGGUGUAGCGGUGAAGUGCUCAGAUAUCACGAAGAACCCCGAUUGCGAAGGCAGCUUACUAAACUGUGACUGACAUUGAUGCUCGAAAGUGUGGGUAUCAAACAGGAUUAGAUACCCCAGUAGUC
rnacentral:rRNA from 1 species